GAUGAACGCUGGCGGCGUGCCUAAUACAUGCAAGUCGAGCGAACAGACGAGGAGCUUGCUCCUCUGACGUUAGCGGCGGACGGGUGAGUAACACGUGGAUAACCUACCUAUAAGACUGGGAUAACUUCGGGAAACCGGAGCUAAUACCGGAUAAUAUAUUGAACCGCAUGGUUCAAUAGUGAAAGACGGUUUUGCUGUCACUUAUAGAUGGAUCCGCGCCGCAUUAGCUAGUUGGUAAGGUAACGGCUUACCAAGGCGACGAUGCGUAGCCGACCUGAGAGGGUGAUCGGCCACACUGGAACUGAGACACGGUCCAGACUCCUACGGGAGGCAGCAGUGGGGAAUCUUCCGCAAUGGGCGAAAGCCUGACGGAGCAACGCCGCGUGAGAGAUGAAGGUCUUCGGAUCGUAAAACUCUGUUAUUAGGGAAGAACAAAUGUGUAAGUAACUAUGCACGUCUUGACGGUACCUAAUCAGAAAGCCACGGCUAACUACGUG
rnacentral:rRNA from 1 species